UACGUAGGGUGCGAGCGUUAACCGGAAUUACUGGGCGUAAAGCGUGCGUAGGCGGUUCGUUAUGUCUGCUGUGAAAGCCCCGGGCUUAACCUGGGAAUGGCAGUGGAAACUGGCGGGCUUGAGUGUGGCAGAGGGGGGUGGAAUUCCGCGUGUAGCAGUGAAAUGCGUAGAGAUGCGGAGGAACACCGAUGGCGAAGGCAGCCCCCUGGGCUGACACUGACGCUGAGGCACGAAAGCGUGGGGAGCAAACGGG
rnacentral:rRNA from 1 species